rnacentral:sRNA from 1 species
UAAGUCCAUGCGAAGUGCUUUACGUAUGAGAGAAUUUUGGAAACAGCUGAAGACCUUUAAAAAUUAUAAAAUUGCAACGAUUGUAACCAAAGAUUCAGAUACUCGGCCUUAUGUAGCUCUAAAUUUCAAAGGAAAGUUGUAUUUCGCUCUAUUAGACAGUGGAGCUAAUAAGAGUGUUAUUGGUGGUGAUCUGGCUCAGGAGCUGAAGAAAUCAUCUAAUUUUAAGAAAUGUCGCGGAAAUGUGAAGGAAUAAUUGAGUUAGAUUUUUAUUAUCAAAAUCAGAAAUGUAAAUUUGAGUUUUUGGUUGUGGAGUCUAUUAAGCAAGAUAUUAUUUGUGGAAUGGAUUUUUGGUGCAAAUUUAAAAUUUCCAUUUCUUUGGGUUCCGGACAAGAUGAGAUUUGCGGUAUCGAUAUGGACUUGGACUCCAUAGAAUUAUCGAAGGACUAGAGACGUAAACUGAAUGUUGUUAUCGAGAUGUUCCCCAAUUCUGACAGGGAUGGUCUUGGAUGUACCACGUUAGUCGAACAUCAUAUCGAUACAGGAAUGUCCAAGCCAGUAAAACAGAGAUACUAUCCGAUAUCUCCAGCGAGGGAGAAAAUUCUAUUUACGGAAAUUGAUAGGAUGUUGUCAUUGGGAGUUAUUGAGGAGAGUCCUCAGUCUCUAUGGUCUUCGCCUGGUGUAUUGAUAGUUAAACCUGACAAAGUUCGCUUCUGCGUGGACAGCAGGAAACUUAAUUCGGCAAUGGUAAAGGAUUCUUAUCCUAUUCCAAACAUUGAAGGAAUUUUGUCAAAGUUGCCUUCAGUACGUUUUAUCUCCAAAGUGGAUCUUAAACAUGCAUUUUAGCAGAUAAAACUAGAUGAUACCUCCAAGUCUAAGACAGCAUUUACCAUACCAAAUAGGCCCUUAUAUCAAUUCAGAAGGAUGCCCUUCGGGUUGUGCCAUGCACCCCAAAGAUUGUGCCGUUUGAUGGAUAUGGUAGUUCCGUAUAGUAUGAAAUCCCACGUAUUCGUCUACCUCGACGAUUUGUUAAUUGUUUCGGAAAAUUUUGAGGACCAUCUGCAGCAUUUGCAGGAGAUAGCUUUCCAGUUUAGGAAGGCUGGACUGACAAUCAACGUGAAGAAGAGUUGUUUUGCAAUUAGGCACGUGAAGUAUUUGGGAUAUAUUGUUGGCGAGGGGUGCCUUAAGGUUGACCCAGAAAUAGUAAGUGCAAUUGCCGAAUUUCCAUCCCCAAAGUCUAUACGUUCUCUGAGGCAAUUCCUUGGUAUGAUUGGAUGGUAUAGGCGAUUCAUUAGUGAGUUUUCUCAUUUUACAUUUCCUUUAACUGAAUUGCUUUCUAAGAAGAAAUCGUUUAAAUGGACACCUGAAGCGCAAGAGGCGUUCGAAUUAUUGAAGUGUAAGUUGUGUAGUGCUCCUGUAUUGGUCCAUGCGGAUUUUUCAAAACCAUUCGUGGAAUGGAAUUAAGCAUAAACUUACUGCUGUGUAUAGCCCGCAGGCUAAUGCCAGCGAGAGAGUAAACAGAUCGGUUAAUGCUGCUCUUAGAUCAUAUGUAAGGGAUGAUCAACGGCGAUGGGAUGAAUUUAUACCCAGUGUUAAUUGCGCCCUAAGGAACACAGUGCACCAGACUUUGGAGGAGACUACGUACCAAAUCCUGUUUGGUCAACAUAUGAUGACCCAUGGGGGAGACUAUAAUCUUGUGCGGAAGCUUCAGUUACUGGAAGAUGCGGAUCUAGAGUUAAAUAGGACGGACAAGUUAACGAUGUUGAGAGACUCCAUUAAGGGAAAGGUGAAAGCUGCAUAUGAGAAAAAUGAGAGGUUAUAUAAUUUACGUUCUCGAAAUAGACAGUAUGAUAUAGAAGACGAAGUAAUUCGACGGAAUUUUCCACAAAGCAUGAAGAUAAAUAAUUUCAGUGCUAAAUUGGCACCAGUGGGAAUUCGAGCUACAGUAGUACGUAAGAUCGGUAAUGUAAGUUAUGAGCUUAAGGAUAAGGACACGGGGAAAAUUGGGGUCUACAAUUUAAAGGAUAUUUGGGAAUAUUUUUUUUUUGCCUGGUAUAAUUUGUGACCUCUUUUAUUAACAGUUCCUAGUAUUUUACACACUUGUUGGGAAAUAUUAACAAUUUUAUUAAAUUUUUGUUUCAUUUCUUAAAACAUAAGGUGCUUUGAAAAUUAAAAGCUGUCUAUAUGUCUAUACAGAAAUUUUUAAUUUUUAUUUCAAUUUGAAAGACGAUUGGUGUUAGACGUGUCAAAAAAAAUAUUUUAUACGAAGAAAAAAAAUAUUCGAAGAUUUAAUUGAAUAAUUUUUAAGGAUAUAAAAGGAUCACAUACCACAUCAACUUAUUUUAAAAUUUCGGACGACGAAAUUAAUUUUUCAACUAAUUUUUAUUUUCCUGUUGUUUGGAUCGCCGAUUCCUCUGUGAAUCGGCACUGUCCACGAACAAAAGAAGAGGAAAACUCCAAUCUCAAAUUAUCUGCAUUGGUCCCAAAUUUCCUUAGACAUCAAUCCCCUAAUUAUUAUAUAAUCGGUCCCAAAGACCAAUUGAUGCCUUUUAAAGGCGGAUAUUGAGAUUUUUGAUUCUACUAAUAUCAAGACCGGAGUCUUCUAAUCGAUGGUUUGAUUAGAGCUC